GCGGGUGUGGCGGAACGGUAGACGCCGGGGACUUAAAAUCCCCUGUCCCCUGGACGUGUGGGUUCGAUUCCCACCACCCGCA
rnacentral:tRNA from 1 species